GGCAUCAAUGUCCGAAACAUGUUGUGAUUGAAUAUUUCAAAAAGGGUACUAAAAUUUGUAUUUUUCUUUCUAUUUCUAUAAAAGUAGCCCUAUACAGAAAAGAGAUAAAUUAUUGUAGUGAUGUGAUUUAUAUGAGGGUGUAAUUAGUAGAAAAUUAGUGUAUGAAGUGAGAAAACAUUUUUUUAGAGUGGAUGGAGAAAUAUAGAGUUGAAAUAAUAAAGAAAUAUGGUAGAGAGAUGUAGAAAUAUGUUAGGAAAUAAGUAGGAAUAUGAUA